rnacentral:rRNA from 1 species
UGCAAGUCAAGGGGGCCCGCAAGGGCAACCGGCGAACGGGUGCGUAACACGUGAGCAACCUGCCUUCGAGUGGGGGAUAGCCGGCCCAACGGCCGGGUAAUACCGCAUACGCUUAUCGUCUGGCAUCGGAUGAUGAGGAAACGUUUACGGCUCGGAGAGGGGCUCGCGGCCUAUCAGCUAGUUGGUGCGGUCACGGCGUACCAAGGCGACGACGGGUAGCUGGUCUGAGAGGAUGGCCAGCCACAUUGGGACUGAGAAACGGCCCAGACUCCUACGGGAGGCAGCAGUGGGGAAUCUUGCGCAAUGGCCGAGAGGCUGACGCAGCGACGCCGCGUGGGGGAUGAAGCAUUUCGGUGUGUAAACCCCUGUUGCUCGGGACGAACGAUCCUUUUCGAGGGAUGUGACGGUACCGAGUGAGGAAGCACCGGCUAACUCCGUGCCAGCAGCCGCGGUAAUACGGAGGGUGCGAGCGUUGUCCGGAAUCACUGGGCGUAAAGGGCGCGUAGGUGGUUAGAUGCGCCGGUGGUGAAAGCGCAGGGCUCAACCCUGCGUCGGCCAUCGGGACGGUCUGACUGGAGCACUGUAGAGGCAGGUGGAAUUCCGGGUGUAGCGGUGGAAUGCGUAGAGAUCCGGAAGAACACCGGUGGCGAAGGCGGCCUGCUGGGCCAGUGGCUGACCACUGAAGGCGCGACAGCGUGGGGAGCAAACAGGAUUAGAUACCCUGGUAGUCCACGCCGUAAACGAUGGGCACUAGGUGCUGGGGGAACCGACCCCCUGGAUGCCCACCUAACGCAUUAAGUGCCCCGCCCGGGGAGUACGACCGCAG